rnacentral:rRNA from 1 species
CCGGACCUGACUGCUAUCGGAUUGGUACUAAGCCAUGCGAGUCAUUGUAGCAAUACAAGGCGGACGGCUCAGUAACACGUAGUCAACCUAACCUAUGGACGUGGAUAACCUCGGGAAACUGAGAAUAAACCGCGAUAGAUCAUUAUGCCUGGAAUGGCUUAUGGUUCAAACAAUUUAUUGCCGUAGGAUGGGACUGCGGCCUAUCAGCUUGUUGGUGAGGUAAUGGCCCACCAAGGCUAUAACAGGUACGGGCUCUGAGAGGAGAAGCCCGGAGAUGGGUACUGAGACACGGACCCAGGCCCUAUGGGGCGCAGCAGGCGAGAAACCUUAGCAAUGUGCGAAAGCACGACUAGGUUAAUCCGAGUGAUUCCUGUUGAAGGAAUCUUUUGUCAGUCGUAAAACCACAGACGAAUAAGGGGUGGGCAAGUCUGGUGUCAGCCGCCGCGGUAAUACCAGCACCUCGAGUGGUCAGGAGGUUUAUUGGGCCUAAAGCAUCCGUAGCCGGCUUUGCAAGUCUCCGGUUAAAUCCAGCUGCUCAACAGAUGGGCUGCCGGAGAUACUACACAGCUAGGGAGCGGGAGAGGCAGACGGUAUUCUGUGGGUAGGGGUAAAAUCCAUUGAUCCAUAGAGGACCACCAGUGGCGAAGGCGGUCUGCCAGAACGCGUUCGACGGUGAGGGAUGAAAGCUGGGGGAGCAAACCGGAUUAGAUAUCCCGGGUAGUCCCAGCUGUAAACGAUGCAAACUCGGUGAUGCAUUGGCUUAUGGGCCAAUGCAGUGCCGCAGGAAGCCGUUAAGUUUGCCGCCUGGGAAGUACGGACGCAGUCUGAAACUUAAAGGAUUGGCGGGG